GCCAUCUUAGCUCAGGGGUAGAGCAGCACUUUCGUAAAGUGAAGGUCCCGGGUUCGAAUCCCGGAGAUGGCUCCA
rnacentral:tRNA from 1 species